UUCAGCGAGUGCGGAGCAUAAAGAACCUUCGAGAAAUACAAGAACAUUUAGAAGAAUUGACGUUUCAUUUUAAAAUAUCUGGAACUUACUGAAACAAGUGACAUUAGAGACGCCAGCGAGGCUGGCGUCCUGUCUUUAAAAUAAUGAAUUUAUAAUAAAAUCCGAUAUCAGAAGUGGGAUCGCUCCUGUGAUCAGUUACUGCCGGUCUUAGUGUAUUUGUAAAUCCUGAUCCAGCUCAAGAAAAUAAUCAUCCGGAGAACUUGCGUAAUGAAGAACGCUCCUCAGUCUUUUAUGCAAAUGAUGUCAACAAUGCAGAGCGUGACCGAACGUUUGCUACUAAUAAAAAACAAGGGAUACGAUUAAAAUUACUAACAAGAUUUUUUGAUCCCGGUGAUAGUGUGUGUGUUCGGGAUUGAUUCAAACGCAUCUUUACGGCUGUAAAUACGUACCAAAUCAGUAACUACGACAUUCGAAUUAAAGUCUUUUAAAGGAGCGAGCUAGAAAGUGUGCAGACGAUUGGUUAGUUGCAACAUCUACACAAGAGGCAUUACGUGAGACCAUAGGUAACAUUUGUUAUUAUCCUUUGAGCUAACCUCGUGUCCAUGAUGUAUUCUGAAGAGAACCAUGAGAUUCUGUAGGGAAGGCUUGUGGUACCGUGACAAGACAAUUAUACACCACAGAUCUGGAGAGCGUGACCUCUGAGCUAAUCGCGUGUUACCCUUGAGCUAACCACGGGUCCUUGAUGUAUCCAUAAGAGAACCAUGAGAUUCCGUAGGGAUGCCUUGUGGAGCCGUGAGAAGACAAGUCUACACCACAGAUGUGGAGAGCGUACCUCUGAACUAAUCGCGUGUUACUCUUGAGCCAACCACAGGUCCUUGCUGUAUCCUUAAGAAUACCAUGAGAUGACGUAGGGAGGCCUUGGGAAGACUUGAGUAGAAAGGUACUCACUCGAUCUAUAAGAACUUGCAUGAUUUUAAUAUCAAACUACUGAGACCAUUGCUUUAUUUAAAUACGACAAUAGACAUACUCUUCACAGUAAUAUUUGCAACAUGUCUGGUUAACACACGGCAGUGCCUCUACAAAAACGAUGCUGUAAUUCAAACGAAAGCAUACUCGACUCCAAAAUCCUGAUAAAAUACAUCUAUUGUGAAUAUAACUAAUUUCUGUUCCUUUUCUGCUAACCGUGGUCAUGCGUUUGAAUCGUGUUUCCGACGGGAAUAAGGAGAUCACGCCCAAUUUUAAUUUAAUACCAACUGGUAAAUGUACUCUUAAAUAAAAUGCAAGAUCGCAGUGGUGCGUUAUACAAGAAUCAAUUGCAAAUGAUAUCUCUGGGUGUAGAAAACAAAUCGUAAACUAUUUGCGUGGAUUGAGAUCGGACCUUACUAUUUCAAUGAAAAGUUAAAUAGUUAUUAAUGUAGAAAUAAUUUUCUAUAGUUCCAGGUUUUGAAACGACUGCUGAUAUAUUAACCGGAGCAGAUUUAUUACGUGAUAAGAAUACAUGUGGAAAAUUUAGUAUCCUUGCCGAUGUUUUGCACAUACGAACAAGUCAAUUAUGCUUUGACAGUUUAGAUUACAAUUCAACAAUCAGUCCGUUUAAAUCGAAGUAAUGCAUCAACACAUUCAAAACAGGAUGGUCGAGGCGGAGAGAAGAUACAAAGCUAGGUUUUUGAGAGGUCGAGCUACGAUUAAAAGAUUCCAGAAGGGAGAUAUUACCGUGGAUGACUUUGAAAUGUGGCACAUGACCAGCUACGAAUGUGGCACAUGACCAGCUACGAUGAGACUUCACAGCAUCUGAGGGACGACACAGAAUUACUAAGCAAGCAGUAAGGUGGACUGUUCGCCUACCUAAUAGUUAUCCG